rnacentral:rRNA from 1 species
AAAUGAAUUGACGGGGCCGCACAAGCGGUGGAGCAUGUGGUUUAAUUCGACGCAACGCGAAGAACUUACCAGGGCUUGACAUCCCCUGACCGCGUAUGAAAGUACGUUUUCACCCUCGGGUGACAGGGAGACAGGUGGUGCAUGGUUGUCGUCAGCUCGUGUCGUGAGAUGUUGGGUUAAGUCCCGCAACGAGCGCAACCCCUACGUUUAGUUGCUAACGCGUGAAGGCGAGCACUCUAGACGAACUGCCGUUGACAAAACGGAGGAAGGUGGGGAUGACGUCAAAUCAUCAUGCCCCUUAUGUUCUGGGCUACACACGUGCUACAAUGGCCGGUACAGACGGACGCAAAGCCGCGAGGUGGAGCAAAUCCUAAAAAGCCGGUCUCAGUUCGGAUUGCAGGCUGCAAUUCGCCUGCAUGAAGUCGGAAUCGCUAGUAAUCGCAGGUCAGCAUACUGCGGUGAAUACGUUCCCGGGCCUU